rnacentral:rRNA from 1 species
AAAUUUAAAUGAAUAAAUUGAUGUUUAAUUUAGUUUUGUUGUAUAAUUGAGGUUAAAUUUGUGCCAGCAGCCGCGGUUAGACUGAUACGGUUAGUGGAAGGAGUUAGGUUUAUAGUUAAGUGGGUGGGUAGAAUUAAAAGUAGAUUUUAUUUGUUAUUAGGUGAAAUUUAAUUAUUGUGAGUUUUCUUUUUAUAUACUGGAAUUGAAGCUGUAAAGGUUUAAAUUUAAAAUAGGAUUAGAUACCCUAGUAUAUUUUACUAAAAUUUGUGAGCCUGAUUAAUAUUAGUUAUGUUCUUGAAAUUUAAAGAAUUUGGCGGCACUUUAGCCCGGUUAGAGGAACCUGUCUUUUAAACGAUAGUCCACGAAAUAUCUUGCUUUUUUUUGUUUUACAGUAUGUAUACCGUCAUUAAUUUAAACAAUUUUGAGAGAAAUUAGUUGGAAUGGAUUUAAAAUUCAUUAAAUUAGAUCAAGGUGCAGCUUAUGGAAAAGUAAAGAUGGGUUACAAUAAUUUUAAAUUAGACGGAUUAAUAAGGUAAGUUUUAUUUAUGAAGGAGGAUUUAACAGUAAGCGUAAAGUAAUAAGUUUUGUUGAUGGUGGUUCUGAAGUGUGUACACAUCGCCCGUCGCUCUCAUAAAAAAUAUGAGAUAAGUCGUAACAGAGUAGGUGUACUGGAAAGUGUAUCUGGGAUUAAAUA